rnacentral:rRNA from 1 species
UUGAACGCUGGCGGCAUGCCUUACACAUGCAAGUCGAACGGCAGCACGGGAGCAAUCCUGGUGGCGAGUGGCGAACGGGUGAGUAAUAUAUCGGAACGUGCCCAGUCGUGGGGGAUAACGCAGCGAAAGCUGUGCUAAUACCGCAUACGAUCUCUGGAUGAAAGCGGGGGGACCUGCAAGGGCCUCGCGCGAUUGGAGCGGCCGAUAUCAGAUUAGCUAGUUGGUGGGGUAAAAGCUCACCAAGGCGACGAUCUGUAGCUGGUCUGAGAGGACGACCAGCCACACUGGAACUGAGACACGGUCCAGACUCCUACGGGAGGCAGCAGUGGGAAUUUGGACAAUGGGCGCAAGCCUGAUCCAGCAAUGCCGCGUGCAGGAUGAAGGCCUUCGGGUUGUAAACUGCUUUUGUACGGAACGAAACGGCUUCUUUUAAUAAAGGGGGCUAAUGACGGUACCGUAAGAAUAAGCACCGGCUAACUACGUG